CAGAACUUAUCACCUUUUCACAAAUUGAUGAUCUUCAUUAUUGGUAAGCAUUAUAUGAAGCUCUCACUGAUGUCGAGCAGCCACACAAGCAUCUGACCUCUACGGAUGGUCUACACGAAGCCCCUCGGACCGAUCAGCUCUCUGCGGAAGUGCUAGCUCGUGCGGUCGGCUUCUGAUGGCAGAUCUGACUUGAUCUUCUUCUUCGAUCACAUCAAAUCUUUCUGAUAUUGAAGAUGGAUCAAAGAAGAAUACUGGAUGGUGGAGAAAAUUUAGAUGAAGACUCUCUUCUCUUUGAUUUUUUUCUCACUCAAAAACCUAGAACAGUUCUAGGUCUCUCACCCAAGAGGAGAAUGGUCUCCUCUUUUGUUCACGCCAA
rnacentral:lncRNA from 1 species